AUAAUCAUGGAGUAUAAAAAUUAAAUUUAAUAAAUUUAAUAUAACUAUUAAUAGAAUUAGGUUACUAAUAAAUUAAUAACAAUUAAUUUUAAAACCUAAAGGUAAACCUUUAUAUUAAUAAUGUUUUUUUUUUUAUUUUUAUAAUUAAGAAUAAUUAUUAAUAAUAAUAAACUAAGUGAACUGAAACAUCUAAGUAACUUAAGGAUAAUAAAUCAACAGAGAUAUUAUGAGUAUUGGUGAGAGAAAAUAAUAAAGGUCUAAUAAGUAUUAUGUGAAAAAAAUGUAAGAAAAUAGGAUAACAAAUUCUAAGACUAAAUACUAUUAAUAAGUAUAGUAAGUACCGUAAGGGAAAGUAUGAAAAUGAUUAUUUUAUAAGCAAUCAUGAAUAUAUUAUAUUAUAUUAAUGAUGUACCUUUUGUAUAAUGGGUCAGCAAGUAAUUAAUAUUAGUAAAACAAUAAGUUAUAAAUAAAUAGAAUAAUAUAUAUAUAUAAAAAAAUAUAUUAAAAUAUUUAAUUAAUAUUAAUUGACCCGAAAGCAAACGAUCUAACUAUGAUAAGAUGGAUAAACGAUCGAACAGGUUGAUGUUGCAAUAUCAUCUGAUUAAUUGUGGUUAGUAGUGAAAGACAAAUCUGGUUUGCAGAUAGCUGGUUUUCUAUGAAAUAUAUGUAAGUAUAGCCUUUAUAAAUAAUAAUUAUUAUAUAAUAUUAUAUAAAUAUUAUAUAAAGAAUGGUACAGCAAUUAAUAUAUAUUAGGGAACUAUUAAAGUUUUAUUAAUAAUAUUAAAUCUCGAAAUAUUUAAUUAUAUAUAAUAAAGAGUCAGAUUAUGUGCGAUAAGGUAAAUAAUCUAAAGGGAAACAGCCCAGAUUAAGAUAUAAAGUUCCUAAUAAAUAAUAAGUGAAAUAAAUAUUAAAAUAUUAUAAUAUAAUCAGUUAAUGGGUUUGACAAUAACCAUUUUUUAAUGAACAUGUAACAAUGCACUGAUUUAUAAUAAAUAAAAAAAAUAAUAUUUAAAAUCAAAUAUAUAUAUAUUUGUUAAUAGAUAAUAUACGGAUCUUAAUAAUAAGAAUUAUUUAAUUCCUAAUAUGGAAUAUUAUAUUUUUAUAAUAAUAAUAAAAAUAUAAAUACUGAAUAUCUAAAUAUUAUUAUUACUUUUUUUUUAAUAAUAAUAAUAUGGUAAUAGAACAUUUAAUGAUAAUAUAUAUUAGUUAUUAAUUAAUAUAUGUAUUAAUUAAAUAGAGAAUGCUGACAUGAGUAACGAAAAAAAGGUAUAAACCUUUUCACCUAAAACAUAAGGUUUAACUAUAAAAGUACGGCCCCUAAUUAAAUUAUAUAAGAAUAUAAAUAUAUUUAAGAUGGGAUAAUCUAUAUUAAUAAAAAUUUAUCUUAAAAUAUAUAUAUUAUUAAUAAUUAUAUUAAUUAAUUAAUAAUAUAUAUAAUUAUAUUAUAUAUUAUAUUUUUAUAUAUAAUAUAUAUAAUAUAAACUAAUAAAGAUCAGGAAAUAAUUAAUGUAUACCGUAAUGUAGACCGACUCAGGUAUGUAAGUAGAGAAUAUGAAGGUGAAUUAGAUAAUUAAAGGGAAGGAACUCGGCAAAGAUAGCUCAUAAGUUAGUCAAUAAAGAGUAAUAAGAACAAAGUUGUACAACUGUUUACUAAAAACACCGCACUUUGCAGAAACGAUAAGUUUAAGUAUAAGGUGUGAACUCUGCUCCAUGCUUAAUAUAUAAAUAAAAUUAUUUAACGAUAAUUUUAUUAAAUUUAGGUAAAUAGCAGCCUUAUUAUGAGGGUUAUAAUGUAGCGAAAUUCCUUGGCCUAUAAUUGAGGUCCCGCAUGAAUGACGUAAUGAUACAACAACUGUCUCCCCUUUAAGCUAAGUGAAAUUGAAAUCGUAGUGAAGAUGCUAUGUACCUUCAGCAAGACGGAAAGACCCUAUGCAGCUUUACUGUAAUUAGAUAGAUCGAAUUAUUGUUUAUUAUAUUCAGCAUAUUAAGUAAUCCUAUUAUUAGGUAAUCGUUUAGAUAUUAAUGAGAUACUUAUUAUAAUAUAAUGAUAAUUCUAAUCUUAUAAAUAAUUAUUAUUAUUAUUAUUAUUAAUAAUAAUAAUAUGCUUUCAAGCAUAGUGAUAAAACAUAUUUAUAUGAUAAUCACUUUACUUAAUAGAUAUAAUUCUUAAGUAAUAUAUAAUAUAUAUUAUAUAUAUAUUAUAUAUAAUAUAAGAGACAAUCUCUAAUUGGUAGUUUUGAUGGGGCGUCAUUAUCAGCAAAAGUAUCUGAAUAAGUCCAUAAAUAAAUAUAUAAAAUUAUUGAAUAAAAAAAUAAUAUAUAUUAUAUAUAUUAAUUAUAAAUUGAAAUAUGUUUAUAUAAAUUUAUAUUUAUUGAAUAUAUUUUAGUAAUAGAUAAAAAUAUGUACAGUAAAAUUGUAAGGAAAACAAUAAUAACUUUCUCCUCUCUCGGUGGGGGUUCACACCUAUUUUUAAUAGGUGUGAACCCCUCUUCGGGGUUCCGGUUCCCUUUCGGGUCCCGGAACUUAAAUAAAAAUGGAAAGAAUUAAAUUAAUAUAAUGGUAUAACUGUGCGAUAAUUGUAACACAAACGAGUGAAACAAGUACGUAAGUAUGGCAUAAUGAACAAAUAACACUGAUUGUAAAGGUUAUUGAUAACGAAUAAAAGUUACGCUAGGGAUAACAGGGUAAUAUAACGAAAGAGUAGAUAUUGUAAGUUAUGUUUGCCACCUCGAUGUCGACUCAACAUUUCCUCUUGGUUGUAAAAGCUAAGAAGGGUUUGACUGUUCGUCAAUUAAAAUGUUACGUGAGUUGGGUUAAAUACGAUGUGAAUCAGUAUGGUUCCUAUCUGCUGAAGGAAAUAUUAUCAAAUUAAAUCUCAUUAUUAGUACGCAAGGACCAUAAUGAAUCAACCCAUGGUGUAUCUAUUGAUAAUAAUAUAAUAUAUUUAAUAAAAAUAAUACUUUAUUAAUAUAUUAUCUAUAUUAGUUUAUAUUUUAAUUAUAUAUUAUCAUAGUAGAUAAGCUAAGUUGAUAAUAAAUAAAUAUUGAAUACAUAUUAAAUAUGAAGUUGUUUUAAUAAGAUAAUUAAUCUGAUAAUUUUAUACUAAAAUUAAUAAUUAUAGGUUUUAUAUAUUAUUUAUAAAUAUAAUAUAAUAAUUAUUAUUAUUAAUAAAAAAAAUAUUAAUUAUA
rnacentral:rRNA from 1 species